AAAAUGAGUGUUUUUUUUUUUUUUUUUGAGUUAUCUUUUUCCUUCAUCCCAAAGCUGCAGGAAGGACUGGGGAGGUGUGUGGUGGCUCUGAGGGUGGAUCACAGCUGUGUGGUGAUCCUGAGCUGGAGCACCUGUGGCUCCUCCGGCCUGUGGUGGCAGCUGUGCAGCUGAGGCCUGCCCAUGCCUGCAGGCUUUUUUCUUCUCAUGUGUGACCAGCACUGCCACCACCACCAGGCAGAGUGGCUAAUGGGAGAAGUGGCUGAUGCUAAGGUUCAGCUGACUUUCAGCCAGUCCAUUGCCCACAGCAAGACAGAAGACAGCCAGGUACCAGCAGAAUGUAAGUGUUCCCAAGGCAGCUGCUUGUAGAGGAGUGGUGCGGUGAUGUCUAGGGCUCAGCAUCACACAGACUUCUUUGAAGCUGCUCCUUCUCUCCUUCUUCUUUCUUCCCAUAGGAUCCUGGGAAAAAGGGGUGCUUGCCAUAACUCAGGGAGAGUUUGGACUCGCAGCAAAAAUGGGUGGGUGGAAAAGCUGUUUUCUGUUUGCUUUUUUUUUUCUACUCCAGUUUGGGCUCUGACACACAAUGCUUCACUCUGUUGCCUGAGACUUUGCCACUAAAACCUUGGGAAGAAAGGAACCUUCUUCCCUGUUGCAAGGCUGGUAUUGUUCAGGAUACCCUGCUGGGCUUCUGAAGACAAGUGAUGACAGAUACCCUGUGACAGACGUAAAAAAAACAAUUCUGGAGUCUGAACAGCGAAUUAAAUAUAAGAGCAAAAGCUAAAGUGACUUGUGUGUGUCUUCAUAGUUGCCUCCCAGUUUCAAAACAGGCUAUAUAAGAGUAAAGCAUUUAAAAUACUUCUUGGGAAAACUGCCUACUUUGAAUAACUGAGAAGAAAUGUGAAAGAUAAUUUGUAACUAUGAAAAUAUGUAGCAGUAAAACUUCUGGAGAAACAAUGCAGAGCAUGGAUAUAGAGAUCUGGAGUUGUAAAAGCCUGUAAGUCAGAUAAACCACCAGGGAUUCACUUUUACUAUGGUGAGAAGGCUCCCAAUUCUCAGUACAGAUGUGAGACAUCUAUGCCCAGUCUAAAAUAGUCCAUCCCCUUGGACAAUUAAACUUAGAUUGUUAAAGUUAAAUGCCUGGCUGGAUCAUUAACUUUAUUUUGUAAUAAUGAAAGGAUAGUGACAACUUCCAGUAAAAGAGUCAAAUUAUGUGUUAUUCCUAACCUAUGAUUCCUAUGGAUUAUGGGCAAAAUCACAGCCAACACACAGCACAGUUCCCCCUUGGACAGAUCUGGUUUAAAAAUCACCGUUAUCAAAUAAACACAAGAGGCUCAGUCAAGUGAACUCUAAUCCAGUUUGGUUGAAUGGCAGAGAGUUAUUCCUGCACAUAAACAUUUCAAGUGUCGAGGGGCCUGAGGGGACGUCAUGCUCUGACCUUGCCUAACCUGAGAGCAAACAGAUGAAGAUGGACGAGUAGCUACGUUUGUGGCAACGGAAGAGCAGGAGCAGGGAAACAGUACAGCUCUAACAUGGUUAACUCAGGCUUGGCUAAUCAGGGCUGUCUGGGGGACUGAGACACAGCCUUGAGGCAGGGGGUGGCAGGGGCUGCUUUCACUCCCCACAGCAAAGGGGAAAGUGUCUGCUAGAUCUACCCAAACUGAAAGAAGAGGAACUUUAGUAUACCUCAUCCAGUCAAAUGGCAGAGUUGGUCACUAAGCACGUGUGAAAAUGCUUCCCAGAAUCUUGUUUUUCUGUUUUCCUGUUUAUAUCCUGUGGGUAACCAAAUACAUUUGCAUGCUUAAGGGUUCUACAAGGGUUAAUUCAUUGGGACUACCUUGGGGAUAGAAAUAUUUGGAAGCACUGGAAUUCCAGUUUCUCCAAGUGUGAGUGGAUGUUAUCUGUUCAUGUCUGACUGUGUCUUUGAUAUCUUCAGAUGGAAGGUGGUGAUGACGCCCCAAGCCAUUUCAUGCCAGCCAUAUAUCACCGUCUGGCACCAGUCCUCCUUUGACAUCUGACCUGAGUGCUAUCAGUUGCAGUACAUUCAAUUGCCUGCAAAAGUCAGCUUUCUCCUGCAUGGAAUGCCAUUUCCUGCAGCUCCUGGCAGACCCCGUGGGCCAGAAAUCUCUCUAGGCAUGGCUCUCUCCUCAAGAAUGUCUGUGAAAUGCCUGUUUCCACCAUGGAAGAGGCCCUCUUCACUCAUGUGUAGCUUGCACUUUUGGGCUUAGCUCAGCCUUGCACUGGGGACAGGAUGGAUAGGCCUCAGUGAAUGAGUGAACAGUUAUCCAACAUCUCACUUUGUUUUUAUUUCAUCACCUCUCACCCUGAGAUGAAUCGAGUCCCAGAAUUUGGUGGGGAGCUGGGAGUACCCGAGCUGCCAAGAGUCACCUGAAAGCACUGCACAAAGGCUUCCGUUGCUAAGAGCAGCAGGCAGGUGCUGGAGCCAUGAAAAUGGCUCUACCUGCAUUCUCUUUGCACCUUCUGGACUUUCCAGCAAAAAGGCAGAAUGAGGGAGAAAACAAGAUUUAAAAAACAAACAAACAAACAAACAAAACACAACAAAAAACAAACAUAAAUGUUAAAUAGGCAGCUCGCCUCUGUGGGGUUUUUUAACAUAUCCUCCACCAGUGUCAGUGUUCAGCAGGUAUUUAAUUCUGCCCCGCUGAAAAUAAUACAAUUUUUUUUUUUUUUUUCUCCCAGCGUCUUCAGUGGGAACUUCAUCCAACCUACUACCCAAAUCCAGAUCUUUUUGUGCACAAGAAAACUGUGUGCUCAAGUUGAGUCUUAAUGCUCUGCUUUUUUUUUCGUGUGAUUUCUGGAGGCCUUUGCAAAAGCAAAUUGAAACCCUUCUCCUUAAAAAUUCAUGGUGUAGAUUCCCAUGCAAUCAAUCAGCAGGCCUGCACUGUUAGUGCUGAGUACAAGCCCGGCCUGUAUGAGGCAACGUGUUCUCAUGACUAAGGAUGCCACAACAGUCUGCCUUGAAACUCCAAGAGCAUCAAAUUGCGAGAAAAAGCAAUGUGGGAGUUCCCAUUCUCACAAUGAUAGUGGUAGCUGAAAAGUUCAUUUUGCCAAUGGGGUUCCUGCUUAAAUGCAAACAGCAGAGGAAUGUGGAGCUUGUGAUUCCUGACUAGGUUUUAUGGCAUAGACUGGGAUAUUUCUUUCAGUACAAUCCUGACAAUAACAUCUACUAAGUCCUAUUUGGAAAGGCUCACAAUGUAACCUUUCCCAGUUCAUACCACCUGGACCAUUGGAUUUUUUGUCUUUCAUUUUAAAGUUAAUUUUUCACUAUAUAUAUAUAUUUCUUUUCAAAAUUGCAGAAUUGCCCUUUUCUUGUUCAUACUGAGGAAUAUAAAGACAUAAGGGAAAACUUUACUUUUUUCCAGCUCUCAUUAUUUAAUGCAAACAGUUUUGUCCAUCAGAGAACAACACUUCCACUGAGGACCAGUAAGUGAGUUCUGACUUUGCUUUUAAGCCAUAUUUCAUCUAAUAUUGGGACCACAUUUCCCUGCUUGUCUAUAGUUAGAGCUCGUAAAGAAGAAAGACUGAGCCUUUCUUGCUGACAGAGUACUUUGGAAACUUGGGUUUUGAGGUUAAUAUUUUUAAUGUUCUGAUCCCACGAAAGAAAAUAGGUAAUUAGGACAUUUUUACAGGGGAAAAAUGGCAAGGGGGAGAUGAGAGAGGUCCAGCUCUCAGCCUGACAACAGUAGUCUCUUGAAAGCGGAACUGUGGUGGGCAGUUUCAGUGUGGUGAUUUGUUUGAUCUGCUAUAAAAUCCUCUAUACCAGUGUGCAGCUACCACCCACUUAUAUUUAUUAUGCAGUUUUAUUUUUGCUUGGUAAUAUUUUUCUUGUGUUUAUUUUAAAAGGUCUACAUUUUGUGGUGACAGUCUCCCAUUUUGCAAAUUAACUGCUAGCAGAUGUUGCUGUGUGGUGUGAAGCACACACAGCAGCCUAAACCACCGGGCUCUGGAUACUGGCUUAGGAAAGCUUU